UGAGGUUGUGGCCUCGAGGCGUUGCUUCGGGCGGCUAACGCGUUAAGUCCGCCCCCCGGGGAGUACGGCCCGGCAAGGUUUAAAACUCCAAUGAAUUCACGGGGGGCCGCACAAGCGGUGGAGCAUGUGGUUUAAUUCGAUGCACCCGAAGAACCUUACCUACUCUUGACAUCCAGAGAACUUUCCAGAGAUGCAUUGGGCCUUCGGGAACUCUGAGACAGGUGCUGCAUGGCUGUCGUCAGCUCGUGUUGUGAAAUGUUGGGUUAAGUCCCGCAACGAGCGCAACCCUUAUUCUUUGUUGCCAGCGGUUCGGCCCGGGAAUUCAAAGGAGACUGCCAGUGAUAAACUGGAGGAAGGUGGGGAUGACGCCAAGCCAUCAUGGCCCUUUCGACUAGGGCUACCACCCCUGCUACAAUGGCGCAUACAAAGAGAAGAGACCUCGCGAGAGCAAGCGGACCUCAUAAAGUGCGUCGUAGUCCGGAUUGGAGUCUGGCACUCGACUCCAUGAAGUCGGAAUCGCUUGUUAUCGUAGAUCAGAACGCUACGGGAAUACGUUCCCGGGCCUUGUACACCCCCCCCCUCCACAACAAGGAUGGGUUGCAAAAGAAAAAGGUGGGUUUUUAUUUUUACCAAGAUCCAAUAUCCGAGGAAAGGUUUUCUUUUUCGGC
rnacentral:rRNA from 1 species